AGAACGAACGCUGGCGGCAUGCCUAAUACAUGCAAGUCGAACGAACACUUCGGUGUUAGUGGCGCACGGGUGCGUAACGCGUGGGAAUCUGCCCUUGGGUUCGGAAUAACAGUUGGAAACGACUGCUAAUACCGGAUGAUGACGAAAGUCCAAAGAUUUAUCGCCCAGGGAUGAGCCCGCGUAGGAUUAGCUAGUUGGUGAGGUAAAGGCUCACCAAGGCACGAUCCUUAGCUGGUCUGAGAGGAUGAUCAGCCACACUGGGACUGACGACG
rnacentral:rRNA from 1 species